AAAAACACAACAAUGUAUCCUUGUCCCCUUACUCACUGGGCCUGGCACUGUGUGAUAUCUGGCUCUUCCCCAAAGUCAAAAGACUGUGAGAGGUCAAUGUUUUAAUCCAUUCAGGACAUGGAGGCAGCACGACAGUGCAACUGAAGGCGCUGAGGAAAGAGGACUCCAGAGCUGCUGCAGAAAGUGGCAGAAACCAUGGGGUGAAUGUGUUCAAAGAGAGGGGAAGACCCUGAGGGAGACUCAUGGCAAUGUGUCUUUUGCUCUAAUAAUUUUUUUCAAAUUUAAACAUACUCUGUAUUUUUCGAUCACACUCAUAUUUGCGUUCUUUGACAUUCCCUUACCUGGUGUAGGAAAUGGGGCUCAGAAAGAGCAGGCGAAAUGAGGUUUGUGCUACAGAACCUGGUGGCACGGAGCCACUGACAGGAAUUUCAGCAUCCACCUCACAGGCCCUGGGGGCUGGGAUACAUGCCAAGGAGCCCCUGGCUGGAAAAUGGUGUCUGGGUGAAUUAACAUAACACGAGAUUUCCCUGUAAAGGUUAACUUUCUGGAACAGCUUCGCAGAGAGUGCCAUGACAGGCAUUUGGUAGUUAAAACGCACCCUGUGAGCGCUCACGGUCGGCCUGGCCAGGAGCAGCACUGGGGCCUCCCGAGUCAGGGCCUCUUCCCGGGAAGCCCUGGGGGGGCCCUUUGCCACUUCCUUGCUCAGCAAGGCUCAAGGGUGCAAUUAACAAUUUCCACGACUUGGGCUGCAGAGGCUUCGAGUUCCAAGAGGGUAACCAAGGAGGAAAGAAAGGGAGAGGCCGGUGCUUCAGAAGGUACACUCUUCAAAGGAGCAGGAAGAGUCCACCCACAGGAAGGGGGCAGAAAUGUGACACCUUCCCGUGAAGGCACAGGGAGACCCCAAACUGCCAAAGCCCCGCCCUGCUGGGACCGAAGCUUCCCAAACCUCUGAAUGGCUUGUUGGUUCUGUGGGGCUCAGCGGAGCAAGGAGACGGAGGUCAGAAAUAACAGACAGGAGCAGGCCCUAGCAGAGGUCCCAACUGAUGUCCGAGCUGUUGCCUCUGUUAGCAUCGCAGCCGAUGAAAGCACAGCUUUCCUGUGUGUUGCUUUCGAAGCAGACGUCACUUGCUCGCAUUCAGGCAAUGUAGGUGUCCACUCAGGAACUUCAAACUUGCAAACCCCUUAUGUGUGAACGGUGACCGAUGCCAUGCUAGGAGACUGGGUCUCCCGUCAGUGCUGAAGAACGACCAUGAGGGAGCUGCAGGGGUCAUUAGAUUCGGGGAGUAGGAAAGUUUCUUUCUUUGGUGGACUGGCAGCUACUGCUAAAGCUACUAGAGGGUGGGGUAAGAGGGACUGAGUCAGGAGGAAAUGGGGGCAGGCGCUACUUGG
rnacentral:lncRNA from 1 species